rnacentral:rRNA from 1 species
CCUACGGGUGACAGCAGUGAGGAAUAUUGGUCAAUGGACGAGAGUCUGAACCAGCCAAGUAGCGUGAAGGAUGACUGCCCUAUGGGUUGUAAACUUCUUUUAUACGGGGAUAAAACAGGUUACGCAUACCGUCUUGUAUGUACCGUAUGAAUAAGGAUCGGCUAACUCCGUGCCAGCAGCCGCGGUAAUACGGAGGGUCCGAGCGUUAUCCGGAUUUAUUGGGUUUAAAGGGAGCGUAGGCGGCAUGUUAAGUGUGUUGUGAAAUGGCGUGGCUCAACCAUGGCAUUGCGGCGAGAACUGGCUUGCUUGAGUGCGCGGAAGGUAGGCGGAAUUCGUGGUGUAGCGGUGAAAUGCUUAGAUAUCACGAAGAACUCCGAGUGCGAAGGCAGCAUACGGCAGUGCUACUGACGCUGAAGCUCGAAGGCGGGGGUAUCAAACAGGAUUAGAUACCCGAGUAGUC